AACUCAAAGGAAUUGACGGGGCCCCGCACAAGCAGCGGAGCAUGCGGCUUAAUUCGACGCAACGCGAAGAACCUUACCAAGGCUUGACAUAUAGCGAAAAAGCGGCAGAGAUGUCGUGUCCGCAAGGGCGCUAUACAGGUGGUGCAUGGUUGUCGUCAGCUCGUGUCGUGAGAUGUUGGGUUAAGCCCCGCAACGAGCGCAACCCUCGUUCUGUGUUGCCAGCAUUUAGUUGGGGACUCACAGGAGACUGCCGUGGUUAACACGGAGGGAGGUGGGGAUGACGUCAAAUCAUCAUGCCCCUUAUGUCUUGGGCUGCACGCAUGCUACAAUGGCCGAUACAAAGGGCUGCAAUACCGUGAGGUGGAGCGAAUCCCAUAAAGUCGGUCUCAGUUCGGAUUGAGGUCUGCAACUCGACCUCAUGAAGUCGGAGUUGCUAGUAAUCGUAGAUCAGCAACGCUACGGUGAAUACGUUCCCGGGUCUUGUACACACCGCCCGUCACGUCACGAAAGUCGGUAAC
rnacentral:rRNA from 1 species